AUGACGAUCAAGGUGUCCCUCUACGCGGAUGACGCGGCUGUUUUUCUUGCUCCCAUCAAAAUCGAAGUCAAGUUCUUUGUAGACACGCUGGCCCACUUUGGAGAGGUUACGGGCCUGCAUACCAACUACUCGAAAAGCCUUGUUGCCCCAAUCCAAUGUGACAACUUGGGUCUGAAUGAUAUCCUCCUCUUCUUCCCGGCCAACCGCUCAUCAUUCCCUAUGAAAUAUCUGGGUCUGCCGUUGUCGAUCAAAACAUUAAAUAGAAUCCACUUCCAACCCCUCGAGGAUAAGAUUGCGGCUCAACUUACGCCUUGGAUGGGCAAGCACGUUGCAUCGCCUGGAAGGGUUGUGAUUGUCAAGUUGGUUGUAACGGUGAUUGCUAUAUAUUACUUGAUGGUGCUAAACCUCCCUGUGGAGGUACUGAAAAAGAUUGACUCCCUGCAGCGUGCAUAUCUCUGGGCUGGUUGUGACAAGGUUUCUGGUGGAAAAUGCAAAAUCAACUGGGAGCAAGUGUGCAAAUCUAAACGCAUGGUGGCCUAG
rnacentral:rRNA from 1 species